CUGAACAACUGGAGCAGGGGCUGUCUAAAAAGCCUUUUUUCUGUGUUUGAAUUAUCUCUUGAAGCUCAACGGUAAGAGAACUGUGACUACAGCAAGCGUCUCUCGCAUAUUUCCUUUAGGAUCCUGCCCUCUGGGAGUUGUCAUCCCUCCAGCUCAAAGACUUUCUGAUUCAGGCAUGUCCCAUCCUGUGAGAGUCUGAGGAAGGCGGCAAUAUGGAGGAAGAGAGAAUUCGCCCCGCAGAAGCUGCAGCGUCCACGUGCACAACUUUGCUAUACUGAAGGUGUUGCUUCUGUCCACAAUUGGACUGGGUUCCAGCAUAAGCAAGUAUUUCUCUUCUGGUUUUUGUCAAAUACUUUUUAUUUUCAUUAUUCUACACCAAUUUGUACAUGAGUAGCACUACAUGUCACCUCUUAUCCUCAAUGAAACACUCAUGGUGACCAGUUUAUUCAAACGCUCAACACACCUUACAGUUCUCACACAGUGACCAUUGUGACAUGGCAUCGUUCCUAUUGUUAUAAAUUGCUGAUAUAAUUUAAAAUUAAUUGUUAAAUAUAAAUUGAGUAGCAUAUUUAAAUCAUCACAGCUGUGUUUAUAAAAGAGAACUUAAUCCUUCAAGAAAAAUGAAAAAUAAGGUACAAUGAAGUCCUUUUCUGUAAUCUAUCUCAUAUAAUAAGAGACAUUUUCAUAUGCUUGAGAUAGCAAUUUCCACAUUUAGUCUGAUGGGGGAGGGUAUUCUCAUUUUCAGCAUAAGAGGACCCAUUGACCUUGCAUAGACAGAGAGUUGAAGAAGUGAGGAGCAGCAUAUCCUCAUGAGAUGACUGUUCAUAUCAUUUGACAUUAAACCAAAUCACGCCAAAGAGAAACAAGCACCCACAGAAAACUGAUCAAACCUCACGGAUUAUCCCGUAAAUACAUUCAGAACCACAAAAAAAAAAAAAAGCAAAACAAAAUGAAACAAAAAAC
rnacentral:sRNA from 1 species